CACAUAUCUUUAAAUUAGGAGUUAUUGUCACAAAAUCAAAAAUCGUCUUAAAAAAGAGGCGGAAAGUUCUUGAAAUUUUUAAAGAUGCCAAGGAGAAAAAUUGGGGAGUAGCAGACAUUAAAUGUGGUGUGAAAACCCCAAAGAAACAGAGAUUGACGGACUUGACUUGGGAUACUGUUCCAUUAACAGUACAAAAUUUGACCUUGGCAUGGGUGAUACUGACACCUUCAACAACAGUUACUCAAAGAACUUGGGGGGAUACUGACCUCCACUCAAAUGCAAACAACAGUAACUUGAAUCCAAAUAGUAACAAUAACUGUGCAAAAGAAAAUUCUCGUAUACAAACAGAUAUUCUGUUAAAUGAAUAAAACAAUAGUUAUGCAAAGAAAGAUUCUCAUAGUAAUAUCCAAACUGAUCUAGUGCAAAACCAAAAUUAACAAUCUCUAACUAAUUCAGAUACAGAGGUAUCAAAAAAGUUCUAUUCUUUUAAUGCACACUUUCUUAAAUUUGGAACUUUUGAUCAGUAUGCCACAAAAUUUGAUGAUGAAAGCAGGGGCAGCCAAUGUACUUGUAAAUCCUUGGUUUUUGUUAUCACUUUCUACUUUAAAUUUUUAUCCAAACACACUGAACCUGGAUUACAUUUUCAAUAAAGGAUAUGAAAUUUACAGGAAGCAUGUUUAAGAAUUAACAGCACAUGAAUUAUUUAGAAAUAUGCUUUUAAAUUUUGAUGAAAUUCCUGAAGGAUUUUUUACAAUUAACUAAUUAAAUAUUCGGUUUGGUAUAGCUUUACAGUACCAAGAGUUGACUGCAUUUCUCACAUUACAAGAAGCAAUUCAAAAUUGUAUAAAGCAGUCAAACAAAUUUCUUAUUAAUAUCGGAGCCAUCUGUUCGGCAGUUUAGUAAUUUAAUCAAGUAUACUAUUUUUUGACACUCAUUCUCAUUCAGAAUGUACACUGAAUAACCCAUUAGAUUUCCAUGGCAAAAGUAUUUUGAUUGGAUUUGCUGACUUACAUGACCUCCUCAGUUACUUGUUUGCUUUUUACACAAGUUUACAAAUUGAUUUAGACUCAUAAUAUAAAAUUCUACCUGUAUGCAUCAGUUGUAAAGAUACAGAGACAGUUUUAAACAAGCAGAUCAAGAAUCAUUUUGAAGAUCAGAAACUAAGGAACACAAAACAAAAAGAAUUGAAUACCAGUAUACAAAAUCUUGUGGCAAGUAACUGAAUGUUAGCAAUGAAAAAGAUGAUCAAACAGUUAUGUGGAAGAGUCAAGUUUUUACAAAGACGGAAAGAGAGACAAAGAGAACUUGUUUCUAAAGGAAAUGCUAGAAAGGAUGAAACGUUUCGAAAAGCUGAAGCAGAAAGUUAAUGUAGUAUCAGCUGUUAUAAGGAAAUCCAACAAUGAAAUUGUUGAUGUACAAGGAACACUGAUGACCAAAUGCACAACCAUAAUUGCAGACAACACACAGCAAAUGGAGUUGACCUUGUGGAAAGACCACAUUGACAGCGUAGUUGGUGGGAAUACUUAUAAUUUCGCAAAUGUGUCGACCAGAUUUUUCAACACAUAUACAUUAACCACUAUGGAAAGCCAAUGGGGUCAAAAUUCUUAAUUCGUAAAUUGUCAAUUUGUAAUUUGUCAACUGUGUAAUUUCGAAAUUCUUAAUUCGUAAAUAAUCAAUUUGUAACAUAUAACUGUGCAAUUUCAAAAUUCUGAAUUCGUAAAUUGUCAAUUUGCAACUUUGAAAUUCAACAUUUGUAAUAUUGAGAUUCUUUUAUAGUUGCGACUUUGUAAUUCAUUAAAUCUAACAUUCGUAUACUAUUUCUUAUUCUGCCAUUCUUCAUUUGUUACCAUGUCACUUAAGAUCACUUUAAUAAAUAUUUGACAUAGACACGCUGAAAUUCGUAUAUUGAUGUUUUGUAACUUGAAACAUGUCGAUUCGUUAAAUGUCAUCGUUGUAUUAUUCUAACGAUCAUUAUGACGACAGAUGGCGCUCGCUUUUAUUCUUCUGUGUAUUAGCCUCCUGUAAGUAGGAGCACCUCCAUAUGGAGUAUAUACUCUUAGUAAUUUAAAUCAAUUAUGUACAGCACAUACAUAUAAAAGGAAACAAAUAGAUAAAUAUUUUUUUUUUAUUUUUAUAUGGAAUAUAUACAGAGAGUCUGUUUUAUAUAGAGGUGACCUCGAAGAUACAUGUAUUUCUAUUUUACUGGUCACCACACCUGAGAAAGGGGGGGGGGGGGGGGUCACUUCCUUUAUUAAGGUAUAUACAGAUGUGUCGCUGGAAUGGGUCCCUUUUUCAAAAUGGCAAAUAUAUGACUUAAUAUAUGACCGGGUCAAAAUUUUCGGACUAAAUACAUGAAAUAGAAGACUGAGCCGGAAAAUUCAGACUAAUAUUUUUCUGGACUGGAAAAUUCAGACUAAUAUUGUUCUGGGCCGGGUAUUUAGUACUAAAUACAUGAUGGGAGAAAUGAGUUCAAAAUUUUGGAAAAGAACUAAACUAUCUUAUGAUUUUUUUUUAUACAAGAAGCAAAUCUAUGAAUAAUAUUUAAUUAUUUGGCUCUUGAGUAAUGAAGAUAAAAAUGUUUAUAUCAUGUUUGUACUUUGCAAAACAAAUUGAAUGAGCAAAGGAAUAUUAUUUUAAACGAUUCACUUAAUUAAUGUAUAGGAAUAAGAAUAAGAAUUAUUCUAAUCAAGAACUCAUAAAGGGUAUCAUUUUACAACAACAAUAUGCACAAUAUGAUUGGAAAUAAAAAAACAUAAACAAAAAAACAAGAACCUUAUAUAAUUCUAUCAUGUUAUGGACAGGAUCAGAGCCUAACACAUCAUGUGUCUUAUAUAACUAUUACAACAUGUCUCAUAAUAAUAAAAUAUCAUUUAUAUAUUUUGUUUCCACCUGGAUCUUAUUUCUAAACACUGAAUAAUAUAAUGUAUACUAUGUAUUAAAACUGUUUUGAAUAUCCAAUAUUUUGUUAUCUAUAUAGUCUAAAUGAAUCUGACCAAUCAGAAAACUUACUGAAUACGAGAUCGUCGAGACAUGACAUAUAAUAGUAGGAUAAUGGUGUGAUGUCCUGGUGUCCCCUCUGCAUAUUUUGUCAAGGACCAUGAUCGUAAAACUAUGAAACUGUUUCUUUUUUAUUACAAAUCUAUAAUCAUUUUUAACCAAAGUGACACCUCCCUCCCUCACUGAUUGGUCAGAGAGAAGAUAUCGCCAUCUCGCCAAUUUCAUGACAGAAGCAAUUCUCGCCAAUCUGCUUACCCUAAUUUUAUUUCUCUUUGAGAAUCUUUAUAUAUGACAGCUCAUUUUAGAGAGCAAGAUAUCAGCAAUCUGCUAGUUGUUAUGUCUUCAAAUUUAGGUAUAACUUUUCGGACAGGAGAGGCGCCAAAAAUUGGGUGGCAAGAAUAACUUGCCGGCAAGAAAUACUUUUUGACCAGUACUUCUCUAGCUGGUCAUAGAGAAGACCUCACAGAAACCAUUCUCGCCAAUCUGUUUGCAACAGUUUCAUUUCUCCAUGAAAAUCUUUGCACAUGAUUGGGGGGCCCGGUCUGUGAGAGCUCAUUUUGGAGAGCAAAAUGGUGGCAAACCAUGGGGAGUGGGUGGCUAGGGGAUGGGUGGGAUCCUGGGAGUAGGGGCGUGAAGCCGGAGUUGAAGGGGAAGGAAUCGGGAAUCGGGAGUAUUUGGAGAACACCCUGUAGGACGUUUUGUCUGCAACACGUUUUGUAAAUUUUUAUAGGACGAAACAUCGGGUGGCGGCAAUUACUUCUUGACCAAUAAAGUUUAGUAGGCAUGUAUAUUAGUAUAUAUCUUCCCCCACAGUCUGAAUUGACAAUUACGAAUUAAGAAUUUCGAAAUUACACAUUUACAAGUAACAAAUUGACAAUUUACGAAUUAAGAAUUUUGAAAUUACACAUUUACAAGUUACAAAUUGACAAUUUACGAAUUAUGAAUUUUGACCCUGUUAAUUGGCUUUCCAUAAACAACUACAUCAUCAACAGAUAUAAACGAUCAUCAAGAUUUAUUAAAUAUAGCUACACAUGAGGAAGAAUCCAUGUCUUCUAUUAUUACAGGGCAAUUACCCAGAUAAUCCUACACAAAUCAGCACAAUGUGGCAGCUGUCACAAAUCAGCUAAAUGUGGCAACUGUCACAAAUCCAUCAAAGAGAUACCAACAGAAAAUUUAGUACGCUGCAACUCCUGUAAUAUGAAACAAAAGGCAACCUUAAUAAUGCAUACACCUGCACAAUGAAUGUUAAAGAUCUGUCUACACCUCAAGUGAUAAAGAUAAAAAUGUUUUCAUCAGUCGUAUUGACCUUCCGUACAGGAAAUCUAAAAUUAGAUCUGCUUGCAAAAAUGGAAGAUGUUGAAGAUUAUCUCUUGGAACAACAAAACCUGAUUAUUACAUACAACUCCAACACCAAAGUUGUUUUGAAGUUUCAUAAAACCAGAGCACUAGAGCAUAUGCCAUCCACUUCAAGGCCAAGGGAUCAACAGUGUACCAUGGUUUCAAAGACAGUCUAAAUAUUCCAUUUAAUAUAAUCUGUCUCCUUUUAUUGAAAAUAAUCACAGAAUGUAUCUAAUGAAAGCUAAAACUUUGUCUUGUUCUCAAUCAAACAUGUUAAAUUACAUUUUUAUUCUAUAGUUUAAUAACCAGUCAUUGUAUUGGUAAAAUUGUGUUUAGUGAU